UCUAUGAUGUCUGCGGUAUUGCAUUCCAGGAAUCAAAGCCGCAGGCUGCAGAGGGGAGCAUGCUCUUCCGCAGCUGCCGUGACGGUGGAACUGGAGAGAGACCGGCUUCCAGGGGUCCCUGAGCGGCAGUGACCUCCAGUCUCGCCAACUGCGGCUGCAUUGGAAACUGGAGGAGGAGGUGCUGGUCUUCGCUCUGUCUCUGAACUCCUCUGGUCAGGUCCAAGAAGACUGAGGAACCCUAUGCACAGACAUAAAUCUAUGUGAACUUCUGGAACAAGCCUCCUACUCCAAAUGGAGGAGUAACAUCUGACUUGCAGACCCAAAUCAUAGAUACUUAUUAAUUGGAAAGUAUUUGUCAAGCAUUAUUCUAGUUAUCGGAGAAAAAAUACGAUUCAAGGAUUGCCGUUGACCUCCAUGGACACAAAGCCAAGAGAUUGCAAGAUGAAAACCUGUUAUGUAACGAUUGCAGAAGGAGGAAGAUAGGCGUUGAUAUCUUUUGCUUUAAAAGGAUUAAAGGCAAUGCACAAACAUCGGUGCCUGCAACCUUCCUGCGGGGGUGCAGGUUUCCACGGUGCUUUCAAGACAACACUUUAGCCCGACUCUUGAAUUCAAAAUCGCUUGAUAGACUGAAUUAGGCUUACAGUUGAAAUGUAGAGGAAUGUGAUUUUAAUCUUUUGGGUACCAAGGGCUGUUAUUAUCAGUGAGUAAUAAUUCUGUUGAGAGUGUCUAAGCAAAAAAAG
rnacentral:lncRNA from 1 species